GGUCAUUGUAUCAACAUCACAAAUUAACUAAUUUAUUUUUCACAAAUUAUUUAUUGAUCACAGAUUAAUCCCCAACUCAAUCCAACCUAGCACUAGAAUCACCACUUGCACUACCACCAGCUCAAAAUUUACUACAAAACCACCUCAGGUCCACUAUAAAAUAGCCACAAAAAUCACAACUACCAACAAUGACAACCUCCGUCUCCAUCCCCAUCCUCACCACAAUCACCACCACCGCAACAAAAAACCUCAAAUCCGUUGUCGUCACCACCUCAAAUCCACAGAGAAUAGAGACCAACACCUCACCACAACCACCAACAAUUACAACAUCAUCUCCACCACACCACACCACAACCACCACCCAACAAAAAAAAAAAAAAAAAAAAACCCAUAACGACCAAACACUCAAAAAAUCUACUUUCAUUAAAAAUUUUAGCUUAAGCAAAUAGGUGCUACUCUCCCUUAACCUCCGCCUACAAACUUCAAAAUUGUCAACAAGAACUUAAGCAAAAAUGAGCAAUCCUGCAGGUACCACCCUCCAAAUAAAAUAAAUAAAAGGAAGCACUUAAUUUACACUCAUCCACCUAGAAAUAGAAACUCAUAUUUUAUGCAUCAAAUUUCAUAUUUUUGAAGUGUCAAAUAUUAUAUAGAGAAACAAAGUCCUUCAAACAACUGGUUAUUGGGCACCCUCAUAAGCAAAUAAAUUAAAUGGAUCCCCCAAACAAGAUUUUCCCACCGCCACAGAAUCCAACCUCUCCUUCGUAGCUGCCGUGGGAUUGAGCCUCAUUGCGACCAUCAAAGUCUUGGCCAUUUAUCCCCUAGAUCGCAUUUCUCUUAUGUCUCUACACCCAAUGUCAGAUCUAUUGGGUCAUCAACGAAUCUAAUGAUUUUAGAGAGAGGGUAGAUGAUAGAGAAGAGUAUAAUAAGGAUAAGGAUAUUUAUAAAAAAAUUUUAAAAAAAA
rnacentral:lncRNA from 1 species